AGCAGCCGCGGUAAUUCCAGCUCCAAUAGCGUAUAUUAAAGUUGUUGCAGUUAAAAAGCUCGUAGUUGAAUUUCGGGGUCAGUAGGCUGGUCGUGCCACGGGUACGUACUGGUUUCACUGAUUCCUCCUUCCUGAAGAACCGUAAUGCCAUUAAUUUGGUGUUGCGGGGAAGCAGGACUGUUACUUUGAAAAAUUAGAGUGUUUAAAGCAGGCUAACGCUUGAAUACAUUAGCAUGGAAUAAUGAAAUAGGACGGUCGAUCCUAUUUUGUUGGUUUCUAGGAUUGACGUAAUGAUUAAUAGGGAUAGUUGGGGGCAUUAGUAUUCAAUUGUCAGAGGUGAAAUUCUCGGAUUUAUUGAAGACUAACUACUUCGAAAGCAUUUGCCAAGGAUGUUUUCAUUAAUCAAGAACGAAAGUUAGGGGAUCGAAGACGAUCAGAUACCGUCGUAGUCUUAACCAUAAACUAUGCCGACUAGGGAUCGGAUGAUGUUAAUUUUAUAAUGACUCAUUCGGCGCCUUAC
rnacentral:rRNA from 1 species